rnacentral:lncRNA from 1 species
UGCAUUUUAUAAAAAAGAUAGUAAAAUUUAUUUAAGCAUUUAUAAGGACUAUUCUUUCAAAUAAAACUUGUAAAAUUUUGAUAUGAAUUAUUUAAGAAUGAUAUGACAUAAUUAAUCCGUUGAAAGUAAAAUAAAAAGUGGAGAGUAUUGUUUAUGAGAAUUUUAGAUGCUCUUAGUCAUGAUAAUUUAUUAAAUGUAAAUUUUCUUGCUUGAGAUAUAAAAUUUAUGCAAUGUGACUCAUGUCUCAAACUAAAAAGGAGUGAAGAACACCAAAUUUAAAGUUAAAAGAGAAAAAAAAGGGAAAGGUUGAAGAUAUGGAUUGAUAUGUGAUGAAGAUCAACAACACAUCUCGAAGCACUCCAUGCAGCAGCACAAUUCCAGACAACAGAGGCACCCCAACGCUCCAAGGCUACAACAUAACAAAAAUCAACACAAAUAAAUAUAAACAAAUUAAACACAAUUGCUUAUAUAUCUUUUCCAAUAUAUAUAAAUAAAUACAAAUUUUACUUGAUAAGACAGUUUUAUAAAAUUAAAUUAAAUUUAAAUUUAUUUAUUAAUAAAGAAAAAAAAUAAAAGAUUAAAGUAAAAAUAAAUUAAAAUUAAAAUAGAGGUAAUUUAACACUUACACUCAAUUGAUUUGUAAAUGUAACUAUAUAUAAAAUUAUUAUUUUAUAAUAAAACCAACACUACAAGAAAAUCAUGAAAUAGACUAAUUUUACAGACAACAAAUAAUUAGUUGUUAUAAUUACUAAAUUUUUUAUUAAAUACAAUAUAUUACAAUUAACUAUUUAUUUAACAAAAUAUAACGUUAAAUUAAAUUCUUAAAAUCUCAUAAUAAUUUGUAUUAUUUGGCUAUCAAGACAAUAUAACUGUUAUGUACAAUGAUUAAUAGAUGAAAUUGCGUCCAAAUAGCCAUUAUAUUACUUUAAAUAAUUGGCUCAGUUCACUUGCACAGUCUCCUUCUCCUCUACUUCACGAACAUGACUGAGGGUUUAGAAUAAAAUUAAAAAGAUAUUUAAAGGGGUAUUCUAAUCCGUGUACAACAGUCACAAAGUUACAUUUCCCAAAAAAAUAUAACCAAAAGCCUAAACCUGCAAAAGGGAAUGCCAAACCCAAACCAGCACUUAUGAAAGAACCAAACAGUAACAAUAAAAAUAACAGCACCCAAAACCCAACUGCACUCCAAAGAACAGCACAGCAACACCUAAAAAACCUAACACCAGUUUUCCAAGCUGCUCCCACGGCACCCUUCUAAUCACACCCUCUCCACUUGAAUCUUCAUUCCUUCACCGACCCUCCCCUACACAUACAUAUUAUAGCAGUCCAACCAGCCACCAGUCCACCUUUACACCAAUCAGCAAUU